UACGGAGGGUGCGAGCGUUAAUCGGAAUUACUGGGCGUAAAGGGUGCGUAGGUUGUUGAGUAAGUUAUCUGUGAAAUUCCUGGGCUUAACCUGGGACGGUCAGAUAAAACUGCUUGACUCGAGUAUGGGAGAGGGUAGUGGAAUUUCCGGUGUAGCGGUGAAAUGCGUAGAGAUCGGAAGGAACACCAGUGGCGAAGGCGGCUACCUGGCCUAAUACUGACACUGAGGCACGAAAGCGUGGGGAGCAAACAGG
rnacentral:rRNA from 1 species